CUUUGCUGAGGGCAGACUAGGCGAUGGGAAGUAACGGAGAGACGGGUGCUAGGCAGCUCAGGAAAGGUGUGGACGUGUAAUUUUGGAAGGACUGAAGUGCUGGAAAGAGGAGCUCCAAGCACCUGAGGUCUGUGCGUGGCUACUGCCCCUUCCCGCCGCGCUCUCCCCGCUUUGUGCAGUUCGCCCCGUUCCCGGGGGCGCGUGGGCUGGGCGUACCCCUUUCCCGGGGGCCUUCGGCGGGGUCCCCCACUUCCCAGGGGCCGUCGGCGGGGUCUCCCUUGCGCAGUCCUGUCGCUGCUCUUGCGGCCGCGCGUUUCCCGGAGUGCGCCCUGGCUCGCUCUAGAGAGCCGAUGGGGCGGAGGCAAAUUCGGACCUUGUGGGUCUGAAGGGACUUCCUUCCGCUUGCUGGUUCGUCGGGCCUGCUGGCUGUGGUUGGAAGCCUUUUCCUGCUUUUGAAGGCUCCCUGCACGACCCUCUGGCCUCUUAGCUCCUCACGUUUCUGGGGA